UGCUUUGUGCUGGUGCUGGCAGCGGUUCCAGAGGAUUCCUCCUCCGACGACGUGGAGCCGCGCCGCGGCCGACACAGCUCGUACUCCUGCGGCUGCGAUCGGUUUAGAUGGUAGAACAAGUUGGUUGUGUUACCAGACUUGGUUUUUACUAAUUCUCUGCAAAUUUUGCAAACGACCGCUGUUCGCUUUUUGUCAGACUUGUAAAAACCAAAACAUUGCCAUGCUGGUGAACUACUGAAACCUUUUUUCGGGACAAUUUCCUCCGCUUCUCCUUGCUGUAACAUUUUUUCUAAUACACGUGCUGUCUGUUGUGGUUUGAGAGGGGCUGGGCUUGGUGCUGUAGCGUACCUGGGUCUGCGUUUGUGAUUGGUUGGGAGGAAGUAAUGACUGUAGUAAAAGCUACAUGAUAGGCUAUGAUGAAAAAGAAAGGGAAACUGUGUUUUUCUAUCGAACUUUUUAUCGACCCGUUUUUUUUCUAUCGCACCACACGUCUAUCGAUCGAUAUAUAUUGUUAUCGAAUUAUCGUCCAGCACUACUCUCUCAUAUAAGCACAGAUGGAUUUGGUGUGUGUAAUGUUGAACCCACUGGUAAGACAAACAUCCUUUUCCACAAAUAAAGACACUCACAUAAAGUUGCAUAUAUUUAAACAUGACGUGACAAAAGUGGGUUGUGCGCAGAGAUCACAUCAUACACACAUCACAUCAAACCGGAACCACCUGUGCGUAAAGGACGCAUCGUGCUCAGUGGCCUGGCUCUCUCUUUCAUUGAUGUUGGCAUAAAGAAUGAUUUUAGCUCACACAACUGAAUAUUAUAAUAUUCGUGUGUAAGCCUAACUCCGGCUUGAAUAUUCACAGAAUUUUAAGGAUGUACAGACAAUAGAUAGACGGGUUAUUUUGAAUGAAAAUUUCUUGUACUUUUUUGUCUUUCAUAGUAAAUUAUUCAUCUGAUCACUAAAAUAAAUCAUCUGUUCAGCCUUGCCGCUGCAGCAUCAGAACGGGGAGAGGGCACAGAGACAUGUCCCAGUAGAGCUGCACGAGAAAAAGGAGGAAUAGAGAAAGGGGGACAAAUUAAAUAUCUUGUUAACUUCAUCAUGUGUGACUGUUUCUGGAUAUUUUAUUUUAUGCGGUGUCAUCUGUGUUAAUUCGCGUGCCAAACACGCUCAUCAGAUCAGAUAUAGAUCAGAAUAUAUCCAUAGAUCUAAAUGUAUGUGCUGACACAGAAUAUUGGUUGUUGUUGAUUAUUUAUUGCUCUGAAAUGUGCCUGACACUUUGGGAACCCGCCAGUGAGGCAUCAGUGACGUAUGCGCACUAUGCUGCCGGUCUACCAAAACACCACUAGACCAGCUGCGCUCCGCCUGCACUGAAGGCUGACCAGGUUUGAAUCAGCGAGCUUUCAGCGCACUUUCUAUGCCGCCGGUGAGCACGAAAAUGUCACUGCGCCAGCUGAUUGUGUCAACACCUCCCCCUGCCACGACUCCACACCCAGCUUGGCGGACCUUGGCGCACCUCAGUCUGCUAAAAUACCAAACUGGCUGUACGCUGGGCUCUGCCAGACGAAAAUACCACUGCAUGGGGUCCGCCACUGUCCGCCGCAUCACCAGAGUGCACAAAAAUAGAGCUCCUUGAAUGCACCCCUGUUACGUGCAGCUGCAGCAAGUGUGUGACAUGUGUGGAUCAAUAACAUGGGGAGCAAGCAAUUAAAAACAUGGCAGGAAGGCUGUUUUGGCUGAGAAGUAAGGUAGAACAACUUAGGAGCCUUAAUUUUUUGUACGUUGCUCUAACUCAGACUCAUAUGUAUCAGUUUACGCGUGCGGACACGGACAACACAACACGAGUGCGCCAAGUAUUAGCAUGAGCAAGUUAUUGUUGCAAGUUAUUAAUCGUGAUGUCAACAUCAGUCAAAAUAAUUGUGAUUAUUAUUUUUGCCAUAAUUGUCAAGCCAGCCCUACUUUGUCUGUUCACUUACAGCACACAGGAGCCUGUUCUGUUGAUUCUGAAGGCCUUGGGCAGAUUUCAAAGCACCUGACAACACAAGUUAGCUGAAAUGGGAUUGGAUAAAAAUACUAUCAUAACAUACAACAUUGGAAGUACCUCAACCAAGUGGAUAUAAUACGACAUAAAGAGAACAGACAUCUUUAUCUUCUAACUGCACAACAAAGCACUCUUUCUGGUCGUUGUCAGCUAAAUGGAGAUUUGAAUAUCAGUAAUUAGGUAUUAAAAGAUGAGAAUCUGACUCUGUAGAUUUUAGUGUUUCCUCUGCUGUGACACAUUUAUCACAUUUUAUCUUUAAUGUCGUAGAAAUCAUGAAAUCAUCAACAUAAUAUUAGAGCAAAGUCAAUGGGAGUCGGAGAAGCUAUUUGCUAAUAUGAAGUCACUCAGUAAUGAUGUUGUUGCCCAGUGAUGGAUCUCCAGUCUCAUUAUGAACAGACAGACUGUUGACUAUCAGCUGAAUGACAUUGUGUUUCCUCUGUUCACGCUGACUGUGGACUCUUAGCUCUUUAGGUUUCACGGUGCUGCUGCCUCUCAUGAGUUGAGCUCCAUGGAUUUAUCUCCUGUUUGACAGUUCUUUAAAUGAGCUCUCUGUCCUCAGUGUGACGUUUAUCUGUGUGUUCCUGCAGCCUCUGAGCUGUCAAUCAUCUCACACACCUUCAUACAUCAGGAGCUUCAGCUGUCUAUAAGUGAGUGACAGUUAGGAAGUAUACUGUAAUGGAAAAAUCACAGUUAGUCCGCAGCCUCUCAGCCUGUUCUCUUCUAAACUCUGAAACCUCUCUGCUCUGCAGACAGAAACACACACACAUCUGCAGCAGCUCACACACACUCAUCACAUCAAGUCUCUUUGGCUGCAGUGAAGGGAAACAGAACUAUAUCUGCAUGAGAUGUUGCUAUCUCACACUUCAUUCAGCCUCAAACUUUGCAUUUCUGUGGUGAUUUAACCCCCUUCAAUAGUUAAAGCUGAGAGAAGCUGGUUAGGAACAAUAUUAAAUCUUCUACUGUUCACGUUUGCAGGAGUAUUAACAAUGUCGGUGAAAGAAAAACUUGAAGAUUGAAAAUGUAUGACCUUAAGUCAUUAAAAUCUGCAGAUAAGCUGUUAAAGAAAAAGAUAAAUGAAGUUUGAUGGAGAGAUCAGGAUGUGCCUCCAGGUUAUUAAACAGCUUCAGUAGACAAACUGACGCUGUAGUCUGUUAAUUCUUCAUAUUAUUGAUCAAUCAAGUGACAGUACAGAGACACAUCAGUUAGAUUGGUUAGGUUUCUUUCAUGAUUAAAAAUGUGAUACUAACUCUGUCAUUACAAUAGAUGGUAUGUCAGUGUUGAGCAUGAGUGUGCAUGCUGAUGGUGAGAGGACAGUGACAGCUGUGGAGACAUUUGUUUGGUGGUGGUGGUGGUGGGGGGGCUCAGGGAGUUCAGGCCUGGCAGCAGAGCCGAGCUCUCUACAUACCAGGAGUACAGAUGGAUUUAUUAAGGAAAACCAAAGCAGGCAGCUGACAAGAGCUCAUUAUCCAAUCACAGCUCAUCAUUUUAACUCAACUAAUCAGAAAAGAGCAGUCUGCGAGUAACAUUAACAGGUAACGGUCGAUUAACUCUGGAUCCCAACUCAGUCUCUUUUGUCCCAGAAGCAAAAAUGGACCUGCAAAGUUAGGCACUAAGUACAACAUAGUCUUUAAUAAUGGGAUUGAAAGUUCACAAUAAAAUAGAGACAAUGAACAUUAGCACCAAUAUUUAAUAAAUAAUUUAAAAAAUGGUGUAACCUACCGGUAAAUUGAUCCAUAUGGUUCUAAGCAUGAAACAAGUUAAUAAAGUGCAGGUUGUUCUUAAUGUGCAGGUGUAUUUAAACUUGUAAUGCACAGAGACAAAACACUGUUAUUAUAUAAGAGUUAUAAUGGUGCACCUAUGUGCAGACAGAAACAGCCGACAAAGGGAUAUUUCGGAGUAAAUUUAAGUUAUGGUCAAACACACCAUAACACCGAGUUAGACACCUUCUUGAGAGAAUGUUGCAGCCCUGAUGAGUUGAUCACCAAGUGCAGCGGAGUUUCACAGCUCAAGGAAGAACAUUUUUGAUUAUAACCUCAUGAAAGUGCAAACAGAGUUCUUGUGUAUCUUGUAUGUGCACUGCAAACGCGGUAGUUCUUCUGCCUCAGCAUCUUAGUUUAUUUGCAGAGUGUGGCCUGCAUAGCUGGGGCGGAGCUUGGAUUGGUUACGUAUGAAAUCUCACUGUUUCUGAACCUGCUAUUUGGGUCUGCCAGAGAUUCACAGCGAUUUGAAUGAAGAAAUACUCAAUAAAAGCAAUUUUGCAUAUAUUUUUCUCCUGAGAUGUCCUCUAGCAUCAGAAAAAUGCCAUAUGAACAUAUAAAAACAAGAAAAACAUGAUUUUCAUUAGAAUAGGUCUUUAAAUUUACGCUGGAAUAACCCUUUAAAGUUGACUGAGGGCUUAUUCAGAGGUGAUCAGCUGAUGCUGUCAUCAUAAACAAGAGCUGAGACACAGGUGAACAGUGGAAGUGGGGGAUACACGUUGAGCUUUAAAACGUAGCCUAAAUGAGUUAAAAGUGGAUCUUAGAGGAGGACUUGCUCUGAAUGGUCAGGCUCAGUUUGUCUCUGCAUCAGAGAGCAUCCUCAGGUUUCAGAGGGUUAAAUCUCUCUUUGUCCGAGACUCUCACUCUGAGCAGCUGUCGGUGCAGCAAAGGUCUGAAGUUCAGUGAGUUAGAGAUGAUUCCUGAUUCCUCUGCUGGCUUUGUGCAUGCAUGGUGUACUUUUAAAAAAUCAUUUCCUCCAUGACUCAGUGUCAGAGGAGGUUGUGUGUGUGGUCUGACUGCCAGCUCAAAGACAUCUUUAUUCUGCUGUUUUCUUUUUUACUGUUUGUUGUCUCACACUCAAACUGUCCCUCUGAGCGAUAAAUUAACUGAGAACAGACAGAGAGAGAGAGAGAGAGAGAGGCAGAUUUUUCCCCUGUCAGCUAGUCCAGGUGCUCAAAAGCUACAUUUAGCCCAGUGUUAGGGUCGCUGUUCUGACAUUUAUGAAGAUAGUUAAUAGGCCUGAACGAUAUAUCGUUUGACUAUCGUCAUCGCGAUGUACGUGUGUGCGAUAGUCACAUCGCAGAGCCUGCGAUAUUGGAGGUGAAUGAACUCAUUUAAUUUCAAGGGUAACCGACUGAGAUACACUCCAUGUGACUCUGCAUGUGCUGUGCAGCAAUCCACCAAUCGCCUUCGUCCUUAACUCAGUUGCCAAUCAGACUCACUUCUCAGUUGCCAAUCAGACUACCCUGCCAGCUGUCAAUCAAAUCAGGGAGGAGAAAACCCACCCCUGCACAUGUUCUGCACAUGGAGGGAGACGUGUUUCCGCUGAGAAUUACUUUCGGAACUGUACUCAUGACUAUUAAGCCCAACAAAUAAGAACUGUAUGGGUUUUAAAUUGUACAUUUCCGUGGACCACUCUACUAUAAGCAGUGCGCGUUUUGCGAGGUGCAUGCAAUUCUCGGAGGACAUGCGUUUCUCGGCACAACACCGCUAACAACAACAACAACGAUCGCAAAAUGAACAACGAACAAGAGAAAACCACCGAAAAUGAAGAUUUGUUGCCAAAAAGAAAAGGAAAGUCAGUUAUCUGGAAUUAUUUCGGUUAAAAGAAGGAUGAUGUCGACCGAAACACGUCUUCUGUGUUCAUCUGUUGCCACAAUAACGUCCCAGCACAAUAAAAGCUAAAAAUAUCUCUGAGACAGACAGAAGCCGUUCUACUAACAUUCACAAAAAGAGGUAAGAUCAGAGCAGAUUAACUGUCCUCAAGAUUUCAGCAGUGCAGCAUAACAUUAAGUGCUAUUCAGGUCAUCUGGUGAAAAUACUGUAUUUUUAAUAUCGCAAUAUACACUCACCGGCCACUUUAUUAGGUAUACCUGUCCAACUGCUCGUUAACACUUAAUUUCUAAUCAGCCAAUCACAUGGCGGCAACUUAGUGCAUUUAGGCAUGUAGACAUGGUCAAGACAAUCUCCUGCAGUUCAAACCGAGCAUCAGUAUGGGGAAGAAAGGUGAUUUGAGUGACUUUGAACGUGGCAUGGUUGUUGGUGCCAGAAGGGCUGGUCUGAGUAUUUCAGAAACUGCUGAUCUACUGGGAUUUUCACGCACAACCAUCUCUAGGGUUUACAGAGAAUGGUCCGAAAAAGAAAAAAUAUCCAGUGAGCGGCAGUUCUGUGGGCGGAAAUGCCUUGUUGAUGCCAGAGGUCAGAGGAGAAUGGCCAGACUGGUUCGAGCUGAUAGAAAGGCAACAGUGACUCAAAUAACCACCCGUUACAACCAAGGUAGGCAGAAGAGCAUCUCUGAACGCACAGUACGUCAAACUUUGAGGCAGAUGGGCUACAGCAGCAGAAGACCACGCCGGGUGCCACUCCCUUCAGCUAAGAACAGGAAACUGAGGCUAUAAUUUGCACAAGCUCAUCGAAAUUGGACAAUAGAAGAUUGGAAAAAACGUUGCCUGGUCUGAUGAGUCUCGAUUUCUGCUGCGACAUUCGGAUGGUAGGGUCAGAAUUUGGCGUCAACAACAUGAAAGCAUGGAUCCAUCCUGCCUUGUAUCAACGGUUCAGGCUGGUGGUGGUGGUGUCAUGGUGUGGGGAAUAUUUUCUUGGCACUCUUUGGGCCCCUUGGUACCAAUUGAGCAUCGUUGCAACGCCACAGCCUACCUGAGUAUUGUUGCUGACCAUGUCCAUCCCUUUAUGACCACAAUGUACCCAACUUCUGAUGGCUACUUUCAGCAGGAUAAUGCGCCAUGUCAUAAAGCUGGAAUCAUCUCAGACUGGUUUCUUGAACAUGACAAUGAGUUCACUGUACUCAAAUGGCCUCCACAGUCACCAGAUCUCAAUCCAAUAGAGCAUCUUUGGGAUGUGGUGGAAUGGGAGAUUCGCAUAAUGGAUGUGCAGCCGACAAAUCUGCGGCAACUGUGUGAUGCCAUCAUGUCAAUAUGGACCAAGCUCUCUGAGGAAUGCUUCCAGCACCUUGUUGAAUCUAUGCCACGAAGAAUUGAGGCAGUUCUGAAGGCAAAAGGGGGUCCAACCCGUUACUAGCAUGGUGUAUCUAAUAAAGUGGCCGGUGAGUGUAUAUCGCAGGGUUGAAAAAAUCGCAAUAUUAUUUUUUUCCAAUAUCGUGCAGCCUUAAUAGUUAAGUCUUGUCCUUUAAUUGAAAUUGCUGCUGUUUAAAUGUUGUCCCUGGAAAGCAGCUGUAUCAUCGUGUCUGUGGUGAUCUAAUGAAAUAUGGAUGCACUUCAUUCUGCCCUUAUCUUGCGCAGCGUCCUCCACGGCCCCUCAGCCCCUAAAAUCCUUCAUUAUUAAUAUCAAUAUUGGAGAAUCUCCCACUCUGUGCGAUCAUGUCUUUUCUAUAUGCCAGCUCUAUCUGCUGUCAGCCAUGUGGGACUAAUCUGUGCCUCUGAACUAAACCUCAUUCAACCCCUGACAUUUCACCGUUUCUGCUGCACAUCUGAUCCUCAGCAGAAAGACUGAAAUUCGUGGUAUUAAAGGUAUUUAUGAAAAGAUUUCACACUUGUCAUUUCGACAUUUUAAUGCUGCUCCUCUGGGCUAAGAUUGAACAUUUUUACAUCUCCCUGUGUUGAUACAGAGCGAUAGUUGAUCUUGGUAUUUGACUUUGUAAUUUCCUUCCGUUAUUUAAGUGAGAUCAGAUCUGAGCGCUGCUGCAGAAGGUGAGGCUGAUAAGACUCAGCUUCUCUGCAAAACCUGAUCAUGGAAACAGAAAAAAGUUUGAAAGUGAGGAUUUUUAUCAUUGUAGAGCUGUCACAGAAACCACAAAAAAUGAAUCACUGCAGUGUUAACAAGCCAACCACGGAGCAUGAGGCUGCAACAUACAGCAUAAACUCAGCCCAACACACCACCGUAUUUGGAGUCAUGUCUUUGGGUCAUUUGUAGUUUUAUUUCUAGGACAUAAGGAGAAAUUGAUUAAAAACAUACAUCAAAUUUAAUAAAAGAAAACAGAGAUUUUUUUAUUUUGUUGUUGACCAUAUCACCCCAAGGGAUGGACAUCGGACCUC